UGAAGGGUCAAAGUUAAGAAGU
rnacentral:siRNA from 1 species